AUUGAACGCUGGCGGCAUGCCUUACACAUGCAAGUCGAACGGUAACAGGUCUUCGGAUGAUGACGAGUGGCGAACGGGUGAGUAAUACAUCGGAACGUGCCCGAUCGUGGGGGAUAACGGAGCGAAAGCUUUGCUAAUACCGCAUACGAUCUACGGAUGAAAGCAGGGGACCGCAAGGCCUUGCGCGGACGGAGCGGCCGAUGGCAGAUUAGGUAGUUGGUGGGAUAAAAGCUUACCAAGCCGACGAUCUGUAGCUGGCCUGAGAGGACGACCAGCCACACUGGGACUGAGACACGGCCCAGACUCCUACGGGAGGCAGCAGUGGGGAAUUUUGGACAAUGGGCGAAAGCCUGAUCCAGCCAUGCCGCGUGCAGGAUGAAGGCCUUCGGGUUGUAAACUGCUUUUGUACGGAACGAAAAGACUCUUUCUAAUAAAGAGGGUCCAUGACGGUACCGUAAGAAUAAGCACCGGCUAACUACGUG
rnacentral:rRNA from 1 species